CAGUAGCCGCGGGAAUACGGAGGGUGCAAGCGUUAAUCGGAAUUACUGGGCGUAAAGCGUGCGUAGGCGGUUCGUUAAGUCUGUUGUGAAAGCCCCGGGCUCAACCUGGGAAUGGCAAUGGAUACUGGCGAGCUAGAGUGUGUCAGAGGAUGGUGGAAUUCCCGGUGUAGCGGUGAAAUGCGUUGAGAUCGGAAAGAACACCAACGGCGAAAGCACUCUGCUGGGCCGACGCUGACACUGAGAGACGAAAGCUAGGGGAGCAAAUGGGAUUAGAUACCCGUGUAGUCCCUGUCUCUUAUAC
rnacentral:rRNA from 1 species